rnacentral:rRNA from 1 species
GACGAACGCUGGCGGCGUGCUUAACACAUGCAAGUCGAACGGAAAGGCCCUGCUUUUGUGGGGUGCUCGAGUGGCGAACGGGUGAGUAACACGUGAGUAACCUGCCUUUGACUUUGGGAUAACUUCAGGAAACUGGGGCUAAUACCGGAUAGGAGCUCCUGCUGCAUGGUUGGGGUUGGAAAGUUUCGGCGGCUGGGGAUGGACUCGCGGCUUAUCAGCCUGUUGGUGGGGUAGUGGCUUACCAAGGCUUUGACGGGUAGCCGGCCUGAGAGGGUGACCGGCCACAUUGGGACUGAGAUACGGCCCGGACUCCUACGGGAGGCAGCAGUGGAAAUAUUGCACAAUGGGCGGAAGCCUGAUGCAGCAGCGCCGCGUGCGGGAUGACGGCCUACGGGUUGUAAACCGCUGUCGCCUGUGACAAGGCGUGAGUGACGGUAAUGGGUAAGAAAGCACCGGCUAACUACGUG